GACGAACGCUGGCGGCGUGCCUAAUACAUGCAAGUCGAACGAGUGGCGGACGGGUGAGUAAUGCUUGGGAAUCUAGCUUAUGGAGGGGGAUAACUACGGGAAACUGUAGCUAAUACCGCGUACCAUAGGAUGAGCCCAAGUGGGAUUAGGUAGUUGGUGAGGUAAAGGCUCACCAAGCCGACGAUCUCUAGCUGGUCUGAGAGGAUGACCAGCCACACUGGGACUGAGACACGGCCCAGACUCCUACGUGAGGCAGCAGUGGGGAAUAUUGCGCAAUGGGGGCAACCUGACGCAGCCAUGCCGCGUGAAUGAAGAAGGCCUUCGGGUUGUAAAGUUCUUUCGGUAGCGAGGCGUUAAUCACAGAAGAAGCACCGGCUAACUCCGUGCCAGCAGCCGCGGUAAUAC
rnacentral:rRNA from 1 species